CAAUCUCAUUUAAUUUUCAUCGUGUCCGGAUGUUUUCCUCCCUUUUUAAAACCGAUUCAGAAUUCUGACAUACAAGACCCAACCACGCAUUUAAUUCCAGUGACAGAUGUGUUUAUCUGCACUGCCAGCACGUUGUGUCCUUGCAUGACGUGGCUCCCAGCCUUGUUUCUGUAUUGUGGCCCCUGCUUGCAGCAAAGUGGGGAUGGGGAAGGAGGCAGCAUCCGGGCUGCUGCUAUCUUUGCCUUUGGGUGUGACAGCUCUGUCUUGUGCUGGACAUCGUGACGGGGCUGUAGGGUGUUUCAUUUGGCAAAGCAACGCUGAGUCUUCUAUAAGCCAGAGGGCUGUGGAUGGGCUCAGCAUGUGAAGCAUAACCACAGCUGUGCUCCUUGUGCCGUUCUUCCUCCUGAUGGUGCAGGUAGAACAGACUUCUGACAGUUCGCCUUGCUCACAAGGCAGUGGUUGCUUACUGUGGACCUUCAGUUGCCUUCUGUCCAGUGCCUGCUCCUCCAUAUGAAGAAAGCACGUCCUGACAGCCUGCCUGGAAGGACUGGACCACAUCUCUAUCAGGGCUGGAACACGGGUGAGUAUCACUGUGUGGCAGCACAGGGGGCUCUGCUGGCACCACUGUUAGUUCUGUUUGGGUUGCAGGUGGUGUCACACCAGAACAGGGAAUGUUUUAUGUUUGGAAGAACUUGAAUUAUCCAGGCAAUCCAUUCAUGGUCUUUCUGGUCAUCGCUGUGGUUGACUGAAUGGAAAGAUGGUGCUUUAAUAGAUGAUGUGAAACCUCCAAAGCAGUGCAGGAGGCUUAAAGUCAUUUCCCUGCUUAGUGCAGCUGACUGCACUGGGUAUUGUUGCAGCAGAGGUUAAGGAUCAUCCUUAGAGGAUGGUUUCUGGUAGCUUCUGCAUGUCCUGCAGGCAGACUGGUCUCACCUUGGUAUGAACAGCAGCACACACUUCCUAUGCAUCAAGAUCUACUUCACAGCCCGCAUUACCAGCCCCAGGCAGCACAAAGCAGUUUGUCCCCCACCAGCCACCACUGUUUGCUCAGUUGAAUAUUCCCUGCAGCAAUAGGAACUUUGGGUGUGAUGGUGAUUACAGCAAAAUUAGUCACUUUUAUUUAAAAGAAAUAACAUAUUACAAAUAAGUGUGCAAAACAAUUUGUGAUUAAAUACACAUAAAAGCAACAUGCAACCUUGACAUCGAAAUCUGCGUAGGAGUUUAGUCCUCAGUAUGUUACAUGACACUAAAAGAAACUUGUCAAAUGUUGGGUCUUCACCUGAACAAUCUUAACGAGAACUGGGACGGCAGGUUUGAAACGUCUGUGAAAUUUUCAGGAGAUCAAGACUUCCCUCCCCCCAGAUAUUCAUUGCUGAGAGCCUGUGUCUAUUUCAGUUCCUAGUGUAGUAUUUUGUGCCUUAACCUGGCAUUAAAUCCCACCUGCUGCACAAUGACUUGUGGGAAGAGUUUGCAAUGGAUUUAGUCUAACCUCCAUCUCCUCAGGUAAGCGUGAUGCAAUGCACGGCACCUCAAAGAAACAAAACUGAGCACAUCUAAAGCCAGUGCAGAGCAUCUGCUCAGUGCCGCCUGGUUCCUGUAUUGUGCUGGAUGUGGAAGCAGCCGCUCCACUCUUCCAGUUAAGCAGAGGAGUUUCCCAGCUCUCAGUACAGCUGUGACACUGGGACCACGGCUGGUGGUUUUCUCUUUUUAGACCUGGAAUGGCUGUUCCCUUACAGAAGGAACUGACUCUCCAGCUGCAGGAGUUCCCCAUGCCCAGCUCCUGGCUGCUUGCUCCAUGCACUGAGGACAGGUUAGCGGGGUCAGCAAACACCUAAACGUGCCUUCAGCUACUAUGUACAGUUUGGCACCGUUAGUGCUGAUCAUUCAGCUGAACCACUGUGCGUAGGUGGACACGAGCUGUGGGCUGUAAUAACAGGACACCCCCCAGCCAACAAACAUGGCUCAAGCUACAGUCUUUCCUGGCUGCACUCGUCCUCUGCUCUGGUACACUGAGAUGUGUUUGGGGAAAGGCUGAAGUCCUGUUCUAGCCCAGCUAAUAGAGUUACAUUUGGGUGUGAGUGGAAGUACUGCCUCCCACUUCCAGUGCUGCCUAAAAUCUUCUGCUUUCACAUCCCUUUUUCUAUGGCUAGUCCUGACACUUGCACAGCCCCCUGCAGAUCUGUCAGUGUGGCAGGCACUCGUGUUUUAACUGAAGUCAUUUCACAGUUUAAAGAGAAACCCAAUAGGCACAAGCUUGUUGAAAGCCACAACUUGAGUUGAUGACAGUAACCCAAAGAGAUUUUAAUGAUGAAAAGCUUGCAGAAAUGAGAAUAAACAAAUGUAGUCCCCUACUUCAGAGCUUGUUCUGAUCGUGGUGGGCCAGGCUUCUCAUUGAGGUCUGCUAAACAUCUUGAUCAGCAUUGGACAUUCAUAUACUGUCCUCCC